rnacentral:rRNA from 1 species
UCUUGGUCAUUUAGAGGAAGUAAAAGUCGUAACAAGGUUUCCGUAGGUGAACCUGCGGAAGGAUCAUUACCGAGUGCGGGCCCUCGCGGCCCAACCUCCCACCCUUGUCUCUAUACACCUGUUGCUUUGGCGGGCCCACCGGGGCCACCUGGUCGCCGGGGGACGCACGUCUCCGGGCCCGCGCCCGCCGAAGCGCUCUGUGAACCCUGAUGAAGAUGGGCUGUCUGAGUACUGUGAAAAUUGUCAAAACUUUCAACAAUGGAUCUCUUGGUUCCGGCAUCGAUGAAGAACGCAGCGAAAUGCGAUAAGUAAUGUGAAUUGCAGAAUUCCGUGAAUCAUCGAAUCUUUGAACGCACAUUGCGCCCCCUGGCAUUCCGGGGGGCAUGCCUGUCCGAGCGUCAUUUCUGCCCUCAAGCACGGCUUGUGUGUUGGGUGUGGUCCCCCCGGGGACCUGCCCGAAAGGCAGCGGCGACGUCCGUCUGGUCCUCGAGCGUAUGGGGCUCUGUCACUCGCUCGGGAAGGACCUGCGGGGGUUGGUCACCACCAUGUUUUUACCACGGUUGACCUCGGAUCAGGUAGGAGUUACCCGCUGAACUUAAGCAUAUCAAUAAGCGGAGGAA